UAGGGAAUCUUCCGCAAUGGACGAAAGUCUGACGGAGCAACGCCGCGGGAGUGAAGAAGGAUUUCGGUUCGGAAAACUCUGUUGUUAGGGAAGAAAAAAUGUAUAGUAACUAUAUACAAAAGAGACGGUACCUAACCAGAAAGCCACGGCUAACUACGUGCCAGCAGCCGCGGUAAUACGUAGGUGGCAAGCGUUGUCCGGAAUUAUUGGGCGUAAAGCGCGCGCAGGUGGUUUAGAAAGUCUGAUGUGAAAGCCCACGGCUCAACCGUGGAGGGUCAUUGGAAACUAAUAAACUUGAGUGCAGGAGAGAAAAGUGGAAUUCCUAGUGUAGCGGUGAAAUGCGUAGAGAUUAGGAGGAACACCGGUGGCGAAAGCGGCUUUUUGGCAUGCAACUGACACUGAGGCGCGAAAGCGUGGGGAGCAAACAGG
rnacentral:rRNA from 1 species